rnacentral:piRNA from 1 species
UAACCCCAAAGGUCCACGGCUUUGAUGU